AAAUUGAAGAGUUUGAUCAUGGCUCAGAUUGAACGCUGGCGGCAGGCCUAACACAUGCAAGUCGAACGGUAACAGGAAGCAGCUUGCUGCUUCGCUGACGAGUGGCGGACGGGUGAGUAAUGUCUGGGAAACUGCCUGAUGGAGGGGGAUAACUACUGGAAACGGUGGCUAAUACCGCAUAACGUCGCAAGACCAAAGAGGGGGACCUUCGGGCCUCUUGCCAUCAGAUGUGCCCAGAUGGGAUUAGCUAGUUGGUGAGGUAACGGCUCACCAAGGCGACGAUCCCUAGCUGGUCUGAGAGGAUGACCAGCCACACUGGAACUGAGACACGGUCCAGACUCCUACGGGAGGCAGCAGUGGGGAAUAUUGCACAAUGGGCGCAAGCCUGAUGCAGCCAUGCCGCGUGUAUGAAGAAGGCCUUCGGGUUGUAAAGUACUUUCAGCGGGGAGGAAGGUGUUGUGGUUAAUAACCACAGCAAUUGACGUUACCCGCAGAAGAAGCACCGGCUAACUCCGUGCCAGCAGCCGCGGUAAUACGGAGGGUGCAAGCGUUAAUCGGAAUUACUGGGCGUAAAGCGCACGCAGGCGGUCUGUCAAGUCGGAUGUGAAAUCCCCGGGCUCAACCUGGGAACUGCAUUCGAAACUGGCAGGCUUGAGUCUUGUAGAGGGGGGUAGAAUUCCAGGUGUAGCGGUGAAAUGCGUAGAGAUCUGGAGGAAUACCGGUGGCGAAGGCGGCCCCCUGGACAAAGACUGACGCUCAGGUGCGAAAGCGUGGGGAGCAAACAGGAUUAGAUACCCUGGUAGUCCACGCCGUAAACGAUGUCUACUUGGAGGUUGUGCCCUUGAGGCGUGGCUUCCGGAGCUAACGCGUUAAGUAGACCGCCUGGGGAGUACGGCCGCAAGGUUAAAACUCAAAUGAAUUGACGGGGGCCCGCACAAGCGGUGGAGCAUGUGGUUUAAUUCGAUGCAACGCGAAGAACCUUACCUGGUCUUGACAUCCACAGAACUUUCCAGAGAUGGAUUGGUGCCUUCGGGAACUGUGAGACAGGUGCUGCAUGGCUGUCGUCAGCUCGUGUUGUGAAAUGUUGGGUUAAGUCCCGCAACGAGCGCAACCCUUAUCCUUUGUUGCCAGCGGUUAGGCCGGGAACUCAAAGGAGACUGCCAGUGAUAAACUGGAGGAAGGUGGGGAUGACGUCAAGUCAUCAUGGCCCUUACGACCAGGGCUACACACGUGCUACAAUGGCGCAUACAAAGAGAAGCGACCUCGCGAGAGCAAGCGGACCUCAUAAAGUGCGUCGUAGUCCGGAUUGGAGUCUGCAACUCGACUCCAUGAAGUCGGAAUCGCUAGUAAUCGUGGAUCAGAAUGCCACGGUGAAUACGUUCCCGGGCCUUGUACACACCGCCCGUCACACCAUGGGAGUGGGUUGCAAAAGAAGUAGGUAGCUUAACCUUCGGGAGGGCGCUUACCACUUUGUGAUUCAUGACUGGGGUGAAGUCGUAACAAGGUAACCGUAGGGGAACCUGCGGUUGGAUCACCUCCUUACCUUAAAGAAGC
rnacentral:rRNA from 4 species